AAAAAAAUGCAAAUAAAAAUAAAUAAGAAUACGUUAUUACAAUAUGUUAUAUUUUUGAAAUAUUGAAGUUCGAAAGAUUACAAAAUAUUUUAUAAUACAGAGUUUCAAAGUUAUUUUACAGACCCCGAAUAUCGUUACAUCAGUGAAUGGCUCCGCCGGGAGAUAAUAUCCGUAAAACCAAGAUUCCAAGAUUAAAGCACAC